GCAAUCCUACUCCGACGGUCAAGAGUUGUCCUGGCCACGUCCUUGUGACUACUGAGGGAUGAGAAGAGAUAGUUAUCUGGACGCCUACGAAAGAUGCAGAAAGCUUUAAAGCCUCUCAGGUCUAGGUAUCACGGGAUACCUAACUGUUUAAAGUACUCAGAAAACAGAAAAGCCGAGAAGCAGAUGUUGUUUCAGCUGACACGUUACGCCAAGAAGAAGAACAUGAUCUAGUGACCCAAGCUUGCAAUCUGAUUUUUCAUCAAAUCAAUACUCGUCAAACCAGGUCAAACCCUAGGUUCAAACUCACGAUCAAACCUGACCAAUCCAUUGAAACAAGGGAGAAAACUUCAUACUCAGGAUGAAUUAUUUGGAUUUCAUUGAAAGAGAUUCCUUUUAUGACGAUCCACUGCACUGGAGUUACAAGACAGAUAGUUCGUCGGGCGAACGAACGGAAGAUUCCAACGAAGAGAACCACUGGAAAAACGAUUAUCCGGACGAGGACGAAAACCUCUUUGCGGACUGUAUGGACGGGGACGACACUCGACCAGUAGUAGAACAGCUGGACUUGGACCGAGAAUGGGAAAUUUCUUUCGGCAGUGAAUUCAGCAACCCUUUGUGUGAAGACGCUCGUGAUGAUUUGGCAGACAACGACGAGUUUCGCGAUGUUGAUGAUGAUGACGAUAAUGUAGAACUAACGCCGUUCCGGUACACGAACAAUCAGACUCGAAUUAUGAAGCAUUUGGAAAAGCUGCGGAACGAGUCGAAGGAGGUGCACAUUGAUGAUAAAGAUUAUUCCCGGUCCUCCUUGUCGUCCCGUGGGAGUAGCGGUGGUGAGGAAGAUCACAACUAAGUCAAUAAUUUUCCGCUCGCUUAGUUUUCCGGGUAAACACGUUUGUUCGUUCAAUGAAGUACCAUAAAGACAGACCCCUUCGAUUCGAGCAUCAGUAACAGUUCAAACGCAGUCAAAACCCACAACCGACAACAGAGAGCGCAGACACUAAAAUCCGUUACACAACGAAUAAACUCUCCACCUGCCUGCAUAGCCUAUAGCUCCCCAAGUGGCUCGGUGCAUUACAAUACCAAAUCAGUCUUACAGAUCGAUGCGACUAGUAAAAAGAGCAAUUAGCACCAGAAACCGAUGGAAAAUGCUUCUCUGUGAUGAUCGUCUCGUGUCGAAAGCGCAUCUCGUCACCACUGACUGUCUUCUGAAUCAUCAUUUGAUUCGAUUUUCGCCACAUUUCCCACUGCUCGGUCACGCGAUGACCAGAGGCCAGACCAGAGCGUCAACUGAAGCGAGAUUGGCAACGCCGAGCUUAUCUCGCCCGGGCCGGGCCGGGCGGUCCGAGAUUAUCAGACAAAAACUCGCCGAAAGUGAUGGCUUGGGAGGAGACAGAGAGUACAUAAAUUAUGUAAGACGGUGUUUUUUCUCCUCUCUCGAGCUGCUGUAUUAUCAUCAUGUUUCGCAAAUUAAGCUGUGGUGUGUAGGUGAUUACUGCGUUCCACGGUCGAAAGGAAAAAAAAAUGUUGGCUGUGCAUGAUCCGCUUGAACGCAUUUUUGGGAAACGAAGAAUGGUUUGAGUGCGUCGCUGUCGAAUUCUCACAAUGUAGCUGAUGAAUGGAAUCAAUGUGACUGAGGCGGUAAACGCACGAGACGAAAAUAUAUUUGCAUUCAUAAAAAGAACUGUUCGUGAUUGUCCUUUUCUUUUGGAUUUCUUUCGGAAUUUCUACAAGGGUUUCUCCAAGAAUUUUUCCAACAUGUUCUCUAAGAAUUCCUUUAAGAAUAAGCAUAAGUGAGUCGCACAAAUUCGUACGUGGUACAAUCCUAGACCGCUGUUAUGAGGGUUGCCUCCUUACUGUCCGAAUAAUUGGGACUAAUCUCUCACUCUUAGACGAGACUGUCGCAAUCCUCCAAUAGUCAAGAACUGGCCUGGCGACGUGCUUGAGACUGCUGAGGAAUAGAAAAGGAUAGUUAGAUGGACACAUAAGAAAGAUGUUGACAGUUCUACGAUCUCUCAGGCCAAAGUAUCAUGGGAAUUUAAAUGUAGUUGGAGGAAGAGUUAAGUCUAAAGGAUACGAGUGGUCAACUUUUAGACGCACAAAAUAUUAUUUAAGUGACCAUUUUGUCGAUUUUGAGUUGAGCAUAUAAAAAAAUUCUUCAGAUUUCAAGCUUCCAGGAAGUUUUUUAAGAUUAUUUUUACGAUGAUAAGAAAAAUUACAAUAAAUCGAAGAAAAUUGGGUCGAUUUUGAAACUCCUUAGAUAGUGUAUGGGAUGAAAUAUUGGUGGAAAACUUUAAACCUUAUUAACUCAAAAGCGGUUUUUUGUCACUUACACCCCUUUGAUUCUAAGAAAAUUGUGAGCGCCUAAUGGUUUCGGUUGUGAUUUUAAUUGGGCUCCUACUUUCAAGUUCCUCUGCAUUGGAAAUGUAUGAUAAGCAUUACGAGAAGAAAACAGCAAUUAGCCCGGAAGCAACAAUCGAAAACGGUCACGCAUUUUCUCGCUUCAAAGUGACUCAUUUCAUUGGUUUGGCCGAUGAAAGUUUAACUAAAUGGUUGAAUUUUCUGUGAAAUAGUUUUAAAAGUGACGAAGAUUUGUAAGUUUGUGAACUAGUGAACUAGUGGGUGGAAUGGUGUUCCUAGAUCUUCUUCAGAGCGCUGCUUAAAGUAAGAAAAGCGGAAAACUGACGAUGGCGUGAUGUCUAAUUUUAGGAUUAUGUUUUCGUUUUCAACUAUAUCAAGGCCCGCUGUUGGAAGAAUACUGGAAGUUUGAUUAUUUGGUGAGAUCUUUCUUAUUUCUAUGAGAUGCCUUAAUUUUGAAAGUGUGAGCCUGUAAAAAUUUCACAAUUUAGUUGCUUACAAUUUGAUUGUUUUAGUAUAACCGGGGAAGGGAUCAAAAUAUGUUUAUCUCGUUUCAGAGAGCGAGCAAUGGCGCUUAAGCCUAGGCUUUCGAGCCCGGGCAUAUGGGGAAAUUCCUAUGUCCCAUCCCAGGAAGAGGAGCCUUGACGGAGUGACAUUAACUUUCUUAGCAAAGUCACUCACAACGUUUUUGCCUAACUUCUAUACCAUAUACUACACGGAGCGGUUGGUACGAGAUGUCCCCGUUCUUUGGUUUUAUUUUCAUUCAAUGGCGCUGCACAGUAGGCCUGGCCGCUUCAAUGCUUGUAAUGCAUCACUGAUUCACUGCAAGUAUUGAUAAUGACAAGAAAAAUGAUAGAAGUAGUCGAUUCUAUCAUUUUCCAGGAUUCUUCCAAGUGAUGGCUGUGUAUGUGUAGACUAGACUAGACUAGACUUACACCCCUUUGAUUCUAACCCCCUCAUUUGGUUGUGAAUUUCUUUAAGUACUCCCAAAAAAUUAACCCUCAAGCGAUCGCGCUGUUGUAUUUCUUACAAGGCAUGCUCCAGGAACUCCUGUAAUGUAUUGCAAAGACCUAAAUAUCCCACACACUCCGUUAUUAAAAUUUAAUUCAAAUGAUUAAAGUGCAUUUCACCCCACACUCCCAUAAGAACGGCUGCCCGGGUGCUUGAAUUUUAAUUUACGCCAAUAUCAAUGCCCAUCGUAACUAACGCGCAAAAUUUCGGCAGCUAGAAAAAUCGCACCAUACAUUACUGACCUGGUUUUAUGAAUCAUCGCUCAUGUGACGACGGACGGAUGGUCGGCCGGGGCAACGAUCGCGCAGCGAUACGUUGUUCAUGAUCGUACACGUUGGGUCCGGUUGGUGUGGUACAGUUUUGAUUACGCUUGGUUGAGUUGACGACGAUAACGAUGAUGAUGGUAAUGAUGAUGAUGACGAGUAGGAUAGGUAGAGUUCUAGGUUUUGGACUUUGAGUAUUUACUUUUGGUAUGGUUUUGGAUACGCCCAAGUUGGUUCGGGCAUUGUUAGGAAGUAUCGUGACUAUUUCGGCAAGACGAGAGUGAUGGUAGGAGUUUUAGACACGCCCAAGCUGGUUCGGGCAUUGCUAGGAAAUUUAGGCUAUAAAUACUGAGGCUUUGGCUUCAGUCGGGGAGAGUUCGGUGACAACGUUAACACAGGCAGCACAUCGGAUAAGUCUUGAGCUCCCAUGUGGGACACCUCUAGAUACUGUCCAAAUAAAGGCUGUAGGUAGGACGUAGUAGUCGGGUCAAGAAGAAGCUGGAAGUGUCUCUAGUAGUUCGGUGAAGAAAUACUGACAAUGUUAAGGUAAUAUAAGAACAAGUGAAUCGUUGUAAUAUAAGUGAUGGUUUGUGAUACUUCAAUAUAGUUUAUUAAAACUGUGUCGGACUGUAAUGAAAUGAAGGAUAUCACAUUCCGUGUAGUGUUUAAUGCUGCCCCUGGACGGUACAGGGCGCUUCAGUAUCAUAAAGGAAUACUUCCAAAAAUUUCACUUGAAAUUAUUUCUCCAGGAUGUUUUUUCAAUGAGGAUUCGCGAUAUGCUUUUCAGGAAAUAGGUGGUACGCAGAUCAACUGGGGAUUCUUUCGAAGAAUUCUUCAAUAACACCUUCGAUUGUUCCUCUAGGGCAGACAGCUAGGGGCUCCAAAUAUUCUAGGACAGGAAUCCUCCAAAAAUUAUCCCAAUGGCCCCUCCAAUGUGUUCUUCUUGAGCAUAUGCAAUGAUUGUUUUAGAGAUUCUUCCAACAUCUUUUUUAGGAUAAGGUUAAGAAAAAUUUCUCCAAGGAUCGCUCUUUUUUUUUGUUCUUUUGUCUGGCUAAGACCAUGGGUUGGUCCAUCUUGCCAGGAUCUCUCUUUGAAAUCUUUAAAUUUCUUCUCCAGGGAUUUUUUCCAGCAAUUUAUUCAUUUAUUCAUUUAUUUCAUGUAGUAAAUCAUAAGUAGACCGUUUCAAGACAAUUUGAACAUAAAACUAGAACUGUUUGCAUAUUUUAUUUAAUUUUUACAUGCAUUUCUCAAACUGAUUCUAGUAGUUUUUUCCAGUUCGAGAGUUCUUCAACUAGUUUUUUUUUUCUAUUUUCUAGGUUUAAUCACCGCAUGACUUUAUGAUAAUUGAAUUUUAUUGGCUUUUCUCGGUGAACUUAAUACUACAAAGAAGGAGGGAGUAACGAAAGUAAUAAAAGAAACGGUGGAUAGAAUCGCAAGUGUGCGACGAGAGAAAUUGAAUAGAAGUUGAAAAUUAACAGAGGGCCAUAAUUGAACAACACAAUCACAACGACGAUCCCUUCUUAUUCCAAAAAUACCUUCAGAAAUUAUUCCAAGGACUUCUCCAAGGCUUCCAAACAUUAUUCUAAGGAUUCCAAGGAUCUUCCGGGGAUACAUACUUGCAAGAAUUCCUCUUGUCUAUCUUCUAUGAAUUCUUCAAAGGAUCUAACAAUUGUAAUUUCACUGAUAUUUUUUCGAUGAUAUUUAGGGU